GCCCAAUUGAUUUAAAAUGAAAACUGAAUGGUACAAAAAAACAAUAAAAAUAGAAAGAAGAUAUUAAAGAGAAGAUAGCGAGAGAGAGAGAGAAGAGAGAGAGAGAGAGAGAGAGAGAGAGAGAGAGAGAGAGGGAGAGAGAGAGAA
rnacentral:lncRNA from 1 species